rnacentral:misc_RNA from 1 species
AAGUCGUAACAAGGUUUCCGUAGGUGAACCUGCGGAAGGAUCAUUACCUUUCCAUGCAGAAGGAUUGCGCAGGGCUUCGGCCCUCGCAAGCCUUCCUGUAUACCACCCUUGUCUUUUGCGCACUCAUGUUUUCCCUCGGCAGGCUUGCCCUGCCGGUUGGACAAAACUUAUAACCUUUUUUAAUUUUCAAUCAGCGUCUGAAAUAAUUUUAAUAAUUACAA